rnacentral:rRNA from 1 species
AGCAGCCGCGGUAAUUCCAGCUCCAAUAGCGUAUAUUAAAGUUGUUGCAGUUAAAAAGCUCGUAGUUGAAUUUCGGGGUCAGCAAGUUGGUCGUGCCACCGGUAUGCACUGGCUUUGCUGAUUCCUCCUUCUUGUAGAACCGUAAUGCCAUUAAGUUGGUGUUGCGGGGAAACAGGACUGUUACUUUGAAAAAAUUAGAGUGUUUAAAGCAGGCUAAGGCUUGAAUACAUUAGCAUGGAAUAAUGAAAUAGGACGACGAUCCUAUUUUGUUGGUUUCUAGGAUUGACGUAAUGAUUAAUAGGGAUAGUUGGGGGCAUUAGUAUUCAAUUGUCAGAGGUGAAAUUCUUGGAUUUAUUGAAGACUGACUACUGCGAAAGCAUUUGCCAAGGAUGUUUUCAUUAAUCAAGAACGAAAGUUAGGGGAUCGAAGACGAUCAGAUACCGUCGUAGUCUUAACCAUAAACUAUGCCGACUAGGGAUCGGAUGAUGUUAAUUUUUUAAUGGCUCA